ACAUGAUGGAGCAGGCGUUGACGUCGUCGUCGUUGAAGAGGUUGCUGACGGGGUCGGCGCCGCGGUGGGGCUCCGGGAGGUGGCCGUGCUUGUCGCCGUUGUAGCCGUGGCGGUAGUAGUUGUAGCUGGGGCGGAAGGACUCCUCGUCGUGGAAGUAGUCCUUGGCCGACGUGAAGUAGAGCGGCAGGUCUGGGUUUGGCCAGAACUCCGCCUUCUUCCCCGCCCGCCUCACCUCCUUCAGCACCCGCUGCCUCUCCACGUACCCCGUCACCGUCACCUUCUCCAUCUCCAACUCCACCUCCACCGAAUCAACCCCUCUGAGCUUCAUGAGAGCAUGCUUCACGACCCUCUCGCAGCCUGAGCAGCACAUCCGAACCUUGAGCUCCACUUAUUUUGCUACUGGUACGAGUACAUUUUUACUGUCUCCAACACCGGCGCAUGCGGCAAGCCGAGGGAAAAGUUUCCCUUGUCCUAUGUAAGUUGCCCUUUUUUUUUCCUUCAACCUUUUAUCGCUCUCUUUUUCGCACGCAUGCAUGAGCUUGGUUUCGCGGGCUGUUCUAGACAGCAACGUGCACAGCAGCACAGAUUAUCGCUACGAGCAUAUGCUAGGAAAUUAAUUAGCGUUAAGCUAGGAGACAGCAUCAGAAGUGGCGGACAAAAAUCUGAGGAGAAUAAUCUGAACACGACUAGUCGCAAUCGCAAUAUCGCAUAAACAAGCUAGCUUGCAAAUACGUAUUCAUCUGAACAAAGAAUAUGUCCGUCUUCUGCAUGCGUAGCAUAGCUAAACAGAGGAAGCGAGGAACAGAGCAAGCAAAGCAAGAACGAACGAGCAAGCUGAAGAAGAACAAAUACCUGCAGUGACAGUGGCCUGCUCCUGCCCAUCCUGCGUCCGGCGAGGCCACCCUCGUAGUAGUAGGUGUUGGUGCUCGUCGGGUGGCUGCUGUAGUAGUACGCGCCGGCGCGGUGGCCGUGCCGGUGGCCGCCGGUGGGGGAGAAGCAGCAGUAGAGGAACGACGACAGCGCGGAGGAGACGGUCGACAUGGCCGGC
rnacentral:sRNA from 1 species